GGGGGGAACCCUGACCGAGCAACGCCGCGUGAGUGAAGAAGGUUUUCGGAUCGUAAAGCUCUGUUGUAAGAGAAGAACGAGUGUGAGAGUGGAAAGUUCACACUGUGACGGUAUCUUACCAGAAAGGGACGGCUAACUACGUGCCAGCAGCCGCGGUAAUACGUAGGUCCCGAGCGUUAUCCGGAUUUAUUGGGCGUAAAGCGAGCGCAGGCGGUUAGAUAAGUUCUGAAGUUAAAGGCUGUGGCUUAACCAUAGUACGCUUUGGAAACUGUUUAACUUGAGUGCAAGAGGGGAGAGUGGAAUUCCAUGUGUAGCGGUGAAAUGCGUAGAUAUAUGGAGGAACACC
rnacentral:rRNA from 1 species